CUGGGACGCUUGGGGCAUAGAGGGCGGCGCCCGGGCCGUGGCAGCGGCGGCUCCUCAGAUGUUCUCCUGGAAGACGGGGGCGAUGCUGUGCUGAUGCUGCGGCCCUCAAGGCAGCGCCCCCUGCCUGCCUUCCAUCCUCUCUGCCAUCUGGGAGCUCCUGGUCUGGGAGGAAGCCAUUCAUGCUUACACUGGACAGGCGGAAGCCAAGACCACAGAAAUGAGCAGGCCAUACAUAAAGAG